CCACUCAUACCUGUUUAAGAUGAACACGCAGUUUGACUGACAGACACACUCUGACACACCCAUUCACUGACAGGCACACACUCUCAGAUUCACUUACAGUGACAUAUGUUCACAUGCACUGACCGACAUAUGACCGACAAACACUGGCAGACACACAUGUUUACUGACACACACACUCACUAACAGAUACAGACAUACACUCACUCGGACACACAGUGACAGACAUGCACACAUUCACUGACAGACAGAAACACACACAUUCACUGACAGACACACACACACACACACACUCACUGACAGACACACACACAGAUUCACCCUGAUACUGACACAUUUACACACUUACAAAAGUAUUAUAGAUAUUUUAAAAAUAUUAAUUUUAAUCCACCCAACCUACCUUUGGGAGAGCUGGAGUGGAUUCUUCCCCCCAGUGGAGCUGGCUGCUGGGCUGCUGGGAUGGUGGCUGGCUAGGCUGGCUUGCUGCUGCUCUGGCUGGGCUUGCUGGGUGGCAGGACGUGCAGGCUUUCAGUUGUGCCAGCAAGGGAGCUGUAAUCCUCCUGCUCAGCUCCCUUGCGUGCCGCUCAGUGGAUGACGGGAGCUGGGUGGCAUCAUAUCCAGC